UACGUAGGGUGCAAGCGUUGUCCGGAAUUAUUGGGCGUAAAGAGCUCGUAGGUGGUUUGUCGCGUUGUUCGUGAAAUCCCACGGCUUAACUGUGGGCGUGCGGGCGAUACGGGCAGACUGGAGUACUGCAGGGGAGACUGGAAUUCCUGGUGUAGCGGUGGAAUGCGCAGAUAUCAGGAGGAACACCGGUGGCGAAGGCGGGUCUCUGGGCAGUAACUGACGCUGAGGAGCGAAAGCGUGGGGAGCGAACAGG
rnacentral:rRNA from 1 species